CAGCAGCCGCGGUAAUACGAAGGGGGCUAGCGUUGCUCGGAAUGACUGGGCGUAAAGGGCGCGUAGGCGGCGGCCAAAGUCAGGCGUGAAAUUCCCGGGCUCAACCUGGGGGCUGCGUUUGAUACUUGGUUGCUUGAGUGGGGAAGAGGGUCGUGGAAUUCCCAGUGUAGAGGUGAAAUUCGUAGAUAUUGGGAAGAACACCGGUGGCGAAGGCGGCGACCUGGUCCUUUACUGACGCUGAGGCGCGAAAGCGUGGGGAGCAAACAGGAUUAGAUACCCGCGUAGUCCCUGUCUCUUAUAC
rnacentral:rRNA from 1 species